rnacentral:rRNA from 1 species
UACGUAGGGUGCGAGCGUUGCCCGGAUUUAUUGGGCGUAAAGGGCGCGUAGGCGGCUCGGCACGUCCGUUGUGAAAUCGCCCGGCUCAACUGGGCGGGGUCAGCGGAUACGGCCGAGCUUGAGCAAGCUAGGGGGCAAUGGAAUUCCGGGUGUAGUGGUGAAAUGCGUAGAUAUUCGGAAGAACACCAGUGGCGAAGGCGGCUCACUGGCCCGGUACUGACGCUGAUGUGCGAAAGCGUGGGGAGCAAACAGG